CAAGUCGAACGGAGCUUAGAGGGCUCGCUUUUUAAGCUUAGUGGCGAACGGGUGAGUAACGCGUGAGUAACCUGCCCUGGAGUGGGGGACAACAGUUGGAAACGACUGCUAAUACCGCAUAAGCCCACGGUACCGCAUGGUACUGAGGGAAAAGGAUUUAUUCGCUUUAGGAUGGACUCGCGUCCAAUUAGCUAGUUGGUGAGGUAACGGCCCACCAAGGCGACGAUUGGUAGCCGGACUGAGAGGUUGAACGGCCACAUUGGGACUGAGACACGGCCCAGACUCCUACGGGAGGCAGCAGUGGGGGAUAUUGCACAAUGGGGGAAACCCUGAUGCAGCGACGCCGCGUGGAGGAAGAAGGCUUUCGGAUUGUAAACUCCUGUCGUUAGGGACGAUAAUGACGGUACCUAACAAGAAAGCACCGGCUAACUACGUGCCAGCAGCCGCGGUAAAACGUAGGGUGCAAGCGUUGUCCGGAAUUACUGGGUGUAAAGGGAGCGCAGGCGGGAAGACAAGUUGGAAGUGAAAACCAUGGGCUCAACCCAUGAAUUGCUUUCAAAACUGUUUUUCUUGAGUAGUGCAGAGGUAGAUGGAAUUCCCGGUGUAGCGGUGGAAUGCGUAGAUAUCGGGAGGAACACCAGUGGCGAAGGCG
rnacentral:rRNA from 1 species